rnacentral:lncRNA from 1 species
ACCCACACGCAGGUUAGAGCCUUGGACGGGGAAGCGGAAAAGGCUUAGCAGCUACUAAUGGGUUCUAUUAAUAGUAGUAGUGUUAGUUUCCUGAUAAAAGGUCCUUUGGAAACUUUGAUUCUCUUCUCACCAAGUUGAACGGAGAUGUGUUCCCAUAGUAAGAGUGAGGCCCCUGCAUUUGCUGCCCUCGGUUUUCCCAACUAACACCAGGGCCUCCCCCCUGUACCCCAUUCAUAUGCCUCAGAAGCUGACAAUGACUGUUGGGCUUUUCCAAUGAAUACCAGAACACCAUUUCCUGCAGCCUGAAAAGAAGACAGUAUAAUUGUUUGGCAGCAAGAGACAGGAUCUCGCUGCGUUGCUCAGACUGGUCUCGAACUCCUGGGCUUAAGGGAUUCUCCUGCCUCAAUCACAGCCUCCCAAGUAGCUGAGAUUAAAAGUGCUCACCACCGUGCCAGCGAGUUCAGUUUUUGAGGGUGGAGCCAAGACUCUGAGGAGAGGGCUGAACUGUGAACCUAGAAGUACCAUCUCCCCCUGCACACACCUUUGGUCAAGUUGACCCCAAGAAGAAGGACAAGUCCUCUGCACGGCGAUGAGGCCAUACACACAGUCUGUGGCCCGGCUUUGGGAGACUGAUGGGACAAAGGAUGUUUUGCACGAUCCUUGGUCUCUGAGCAAAUAUAUACAUGGGUUAACACAAA